rnacentral:rRNA from 1 species
GACGAACGCUGGCGGCGUGCUUAACACAUGCAAGUCGAACGGGCCUGCCUGGCUUUGGUUGGGUGGGUGAGUGGCGAACGGGUGAGUAACACGUGAGUAACCUGCCCUCUUCUCUUGGAUAACUGCUUGAAAGGGCGGCUAAUACGGGAUGUUCUGGCUGCCUCGCAUGGGGUGGUUUGGAAAGAUUCGGCCUGGUUUUGGUUGUUUUGGUGGGGGAUGGGCUCGCGGCUUAUCAGCUUGUUGGUGGGGUGAUGGCCUACCAAGGCGGUGACGGGUAGCCGGCCUGAGAGGGUGGACGGUCACACUGGGACUGAGACACGGCCCAGACUCCUGCGGGAGGCAGCAGUGGGGGAUUUUGCACAAUGGGCGCAAGCCUGAUGCAGCGACGCCGCGUGAGGGAUGGAGGCCUUCGGGUUGUGAACCUCUGUCGCCGGCGAUGUAGGCUCUGCUUUGUGGGUGGGGUUGACGUAGCCGGGGAUGAA